UACAGAGGGGGCAAGCGUUAUUCGGAAUUAUUGGGCGUAAAGGGCGCGUAGGCGGCUUUGCAAGUGACGGGUGAAAUCCCUCGGCUUAACCGAGGAACUGCCUGUCAAACUGCAUGGCUUGAGACCGGGAGAGGUGAGUGGAAUUCCCAGUGUAGCGGUGAAAUGCGUAGAUAUUGGGAGGAACACCAGUGGCGAAGGCGGCUCACUGGACCGGUACUGACGCUGAUGCGCGAAAGCGUGGGGAGCGAUCCGG
rnacentral:rRNA from 1 species